rnacentral:misc_RNA from 1 species
GAUGAAGAACGCAGCGAAAUGCGAUAAGUAGUGUGAAUUGCAGAAUUCAGUGAAUCAUCGAAUCUUUGAACGCACAUUGCGCCCCAUGGUAUUCCGUGGGGCAUGCCUGUUCGAGCGUCAUUUACCCCCUCAAGCUCCGCUUGGUGUUGGGCGUCUGUCCCGCUUCGCGCGCGGACUCGCCCCAAAGGUAUUGGCAGCGGUCGUGCCAGCUUCUCGCGCAGCACAUUGCGCUUCUCGAGGCACCGGUGGGCACGCGUCCAUCAAGCUCACCCCCCCAGUUUGACCUCGGAUCAGGUAGGGAUACCCGCUGAACUUAAGCAUAUCAAUAAGCGGAGGA